rnacentral:lncRNA from 1 species
AGAAGUAGAUAGAACUCCAUAGACCCAUUACUCAAAUUCAGUGCUUAUCACCUUAUGACCAAUUUUGAUUCUUCUCAUAAUGCACACACUGAGAAUCCUUACAACCCACAGAGAUUAGCAAUCACUGCCCUUACUGGUUAAGAAUAUGGCCUCUACAACCAGAUCUCAUCCAGGCUCAGUCAUUUCAUAGCUGUGCCAUCUUGGGCAAGAGACUGACCUCUCUGUGUCUCAAUUUUCUCAUCUGUAAAAUGAAGAUAAGAAAUAGUACUUCACUGGGUGAGGAGAAUCGAUGAAACUCCUACAGUACCUGGAACAGUCACUGGUAUAUACUCAGUGCCCAAUAAGUACUAUUAAGAACAAAGGUGAGGGAGGAUCAGCUCAGCUCAUAUUCAGUGUCAGCAGCAUGUCAGGGCAGGCUGUGUUCCCAGCAAGCUGCCCACAGUCUUUUCUUCAGGGAUAGGCCCAUUCCUUUGAGGAGGAGGAGGCCCUACCCUACUGGAGCCGAAGGUUUCCAGUUACUCUUCUGAACCUUUUUUGUUCUUGAUCUGCCCCCUGCAGCCCCUGCCUGCCCAGAGAGGACUGCCUGGUGGGCAAAGAGAGGACUCCCGGGUUCCUGACAGUCCAGCUUCAGAUCUGCCUUCUGAGAUAUCCUUCUUUAGGGAUACCAGGGAAAAUGGCCACAGGGUGCCGGAAAGCCAGGGUAAUGGCACACAUGGCAUUCAGAGAUGUGGCUGUGGAUUUCAGCCAGGAAGAGUGGAUGCUGCUGAGCCCCGCUCAAGAUCCCUGUACAGGGAGGUGAUGCUGGAGAAACUACAGGCAACCUGGUCUCACUGGUGUAAGCCCUGGAAUCUCUAAUGGACUCAUGUCCCUGCUGCGGGGCAUUUUAGGCUGUGCUUGAAGCAGCCAUCUUGCUUUCCUGAGUUGGCCCUUGUGCCCCUAACCUACAGCCACCUUGUUUUUUCUUUUCCUGUGAGCAGGAAUUCCAUUUUCUAAGCCAAAACUUAUCAGCCAGCUGGAGCAAGGGAAGGAAACCUGGAGAGAGGAGAGAACAUGCCCACCAGCCGCCCGUCCAGGUGAGUGGGGAGUGCUAGGCAAACGGAGAGAACAGAGCUGCAGGCAGCUUGGGCGUGGGAGACAGGAGGCAUUGCCCUGGUGCUAGAGAGCAGCUGUUCUCACCUCCCGUGCUGUGGUUGGCGUUGCCUGGCAUGGCCUCCCUUCUAGACCUUCAUCCUCACCUAAGGGCAGGGCUCUCCUGGUGUCUCUCAUCUCCUUCUGCCACUAGAAGUCUUUCUUCCUCCCACUGGGUUUGCCCUCUUUCCCUCACUCAGAUCUCUUCCGUAGGCAUGGGCUUCUUUUUUUUGCUUUUCUUUUUAAAGAUUUCAUUUAUUUGAGAGAGAGAGUAGAGAGAUAGCAAGUGAGAGAGAGAGAGAGAGAGGGAACACAAGCAGGGGGAUCAGCAGGCAGAGAGAGAAGGAGC